ACAUUCAGUCUGUUAAUAUUGGGUGUUUGCUUACUGGUGAAUGAAACAUGAAGUAAAACUGAGGUCCUUGCUCCGCUCUGCUCUAAAGCAGCGACAC